CUGCCUGCCUGCCUGGUUUGCUGGCUUUUGUUUCCGUUUGUUGGCGCGUGUAGAUUACGGCACGCCACCUCAUAAAUGUCCCAAUUUUGUCCAACUCCUAAGUGGUUCCUGAUAGGAGGCGUAAGGUCGUUGUGCACUCUAGAGAGGGCAAUUGUGAGGUAAUGUGCUAGGUGUCCAACAGAGCAUUGUGAUGCAACAUUGUAACCGGCAGCCGAGAAUGCGAUGCAAAUGCAGCCCGGAUCCGGUUUCUAGUGAAGCAAUGCCACACCACACCGCCGAGCCACAAGUUGUUUGAUUCGCAAUCGCAUAAAUCCAAUGCAGGGCGAUGAAUGAGGAAAGGAGGAAAGAAAACAGUCAAAUUUAUUAAGUUCUUCUUAACACCUUUGAUUGUGUGUAUUUUAUUCCUUAUGCGCUGUUCAGCUUGAUUCAUUUUUGCUCAUAAAUAAGAUGGCCCAUAAAUAAAAGCUCAUGUCGCUUCUGUG